UACGGAGGGGGCUAGCGUUUGUCGGAAUUACUGGGCGUAAAGCGCGCGUAGGCGGACCUGCAAGUCGGGGGUGAAAGCCCGAGGCUCAACCUCGGAACUGCCUUCGAUACUGCGGGUCUCGAGUCCGGGAGAGGUGAGUGGAAUUCCUAGUGUAGAGGUGAAAUUCGUAGAUAUUAGGAAGAACACCAGUGGCGAAGGCGGCUCACUGGCCCGGUACUGACGCUGAGGUGCGAAAGCGUGGGGAGCAAACAGG
rnacentral:rRNA from 1 species